CUACGGGCGGCUCCAGUGGGGAAUAUUGGACAAUGGGGGAAACCCUGAUCCAGCAAUGCCGCGUGUGUGAAGAAGGCCUGCGGGUUGUAAAGCACUUUCGGUUGGGAGGACUGCUUCUAGCACUAAUAUUGUUGGAAGUUGACGUUACCUUCAGAAGAAGCACCGGCUAACUCCGUGCCAGCAGCCGCGGUAAUACGGAGGGUGCAAGCGGUAAUCGGAAUUACUGGGCGUAAAGCGCGCGUAGGCGGCUAGCUCAGUCGGGUGUGAAAGCCCCGGGCUUAACCUGGGAACUGCAUCCGAUACUGUCUAGCUUGAGUACAGGAGAGGAGAGUGGAAUUCCACAUGUAGCGGUGAAAUGCGUAGAUAUGUGGAGGAACACCAAUGGCGAAGGCAGCUCUCUGGCCUGAUACUGACGCUGAGGUGCGAAAGCGUGGGGAGCAAACAGGAUUAGAUACCCCAGUAGUC
rnacentral:rRNA from 1 species